GAACGGGUUGAGCAAUGAAUACAUGGGAAUGGAUACCACAAGCACAGCCUUUCAGGAUGUGUGGAAUAUACCAGAGAACAUCUGAUAGGCUCAAUCCAAGAUUGAGUCUUGCAAGGCUUUUUAGAUGAUUGAACAUGCACAGAAGAGGUAUAUAUUUUUUGAAUAUUGAGUGUACAUCAUGUACUUCUUUGUACAAUGAAGAUACACAGGAGAAUCACAUGAAGAAGAGGUCGUGGAAAUGAGCACACAGUGAAACAGUGGCUGGCUGCACGGCAGAAAACGAUCAUGCUGGCACCUUGCUCUUGGACUUUUUACGUCUAGAACUAUAAAAUACAUUUCUGUCAUUCAAGCAACCCAGCCUGUGGCAUUUGUUUUGGCAGUCCCUACUGACUAAGACGGGCAUAUAUAAAUGUUCUGUGCAAGAUGACUUGGCCUGCUUCGGAGAAAGAAGGCCAGUGUGGUUAGCAUGCUGCGUCUAAGAGGAGACACGGGGUUUGAAAUGAGGCUGGGGAUUCAGGCAGGGCUGAGUCCAUUCACGUUCUUGAACACCGCUUUAAGAAGAUGGCUCUUAGCCAUCUAAUUAGGCUAAUCCUCCGCCUUGCGGUGCCGGCACACCAGGUUCUAGUCCUGGUCGGGGCGCCAGAUUCUGUCCCGGUUGCCCCUCUUCCAGACCAGCUCUCUGCUGUGGCCAGGGAGUGCAGUGGAGGAUGGCCCAAGUGCUUGGGCCCUGCACCCCAUGGGAGACCAGGAGAAGUACCUGGCUCCUGCCAUUGGAUCAGCGC